AUUUGAUUUAAUGAAAUGUUUAUGUUCUUAUUUCCUUGAUUAAAUAGAUAAUUUUCGUAGUUUUACGUUGUUACUUUGUUUUAGUAAGUGUUGAAUUUUGCUGAGAAAUUAACAUGACCAAUUGGAGUAAAAUCAAGUGACAAUGAAAGCUAAGAUUCAUAGAUACAACUUUCAUGAAGACAUCGGAACCCAAUUCAGACUCAAAAGAGGAGAAAAAUGUAGAAAAUGUCAAACAGAAGAAGUUGUGCGCCUAAAGUGCAACAACUGCGACAGGGGCACAUUUCCACCCAUCCUAAUUUUUUUAAUGCACCCAAUUUAAAUAGAGCCAAAAUCUUAAUUUUUUCAAUGGAGGUAAAAAAAAUUAAAUUGAGAUAAAAUCCAAAUUUUUUCAAUGGAGCCAAAAACAAAUUUUGAUGGAGCCAAAAUAAAAAUUAAUAGAGGCAAAACCUAAAUUAGUACCAAGUACCAACUAAAUCCUUUCUCAUCAAAACACCUAAAACUCAAAACUGUUGUCCUCUUUCACCCAAUAUGAGCCCCAAUCUAAGCCCCAAUCGUUGUCUUCUCCUUCUCGUCGUUCUCACUCAAAACUGUCGUUCUCACUGUUCUCGCUGUCAAUCAACCAACUGCACUCGCCGACGAACCAGUCGAACCAGUUGCGCACUCGCCGUCGAACCGGAGCUGCACUCGCCGUCGAACCAGUCGCGCCGUCGAACCCGAGCUGCACUCACCGUCGUUCUCACCGUUCUCGCACCACUGUUGUGUUUGGAUUAACUAAAGAUACAAUCUUAGCGCGCGGGAAUUUGAAGGAACUUCAACUGAACGGCUGCAGGAGGAAUGACAUGAGAACGAGGAAUCAUACUUUAAGAAUCCCACAGUAGCAGUUUGGUCAAUGAUGAUUAUAUCAUUUAUGCAACUUUUUAUCCAUCAACAUCUUUGUCUAUAUGAGCAAUGCUUGAUGUGUCUUGAAACCAAAGACUUUAAAAUAAGCAUCAAGAUCAUGACUUAGUGUUGGUUCUUUUGGCAUCUAAAAUUGUAAAUAUUUAUUAUCCAGACUAGUUGCAGGUUACUCCAACUUAUUGGCAAGGGCUAUUUCAAGUGUUAAUAUUAGGUAGUGGAGAUGUUGCAGAGCAAAGGUGGAGGUAAUAUUAGCUAUCUCUACGGUUUUAUACGUUUACUUAUAGAUUUUCAUCGCUAAACGUAAAAUUUAUUGUAGUGAUAUUUUUUAAAGCAAUGUUAUCGAUGAAGUUAAUCAAUACUUGCAUAUGACCCUACUAAAACAGAAGAAUAAGUUGCAUCUCUUGUACCAGAUGAUAGGGUUGACCCAAAUCAAUAUCGUGGUUUGGUUCAUCAUUGGUUUUCUGAUGAAGGACAAGUAAGUCGUAUAUAUUAUGAGUAAUAUAUUAAAGAGCUUAUUAUUUAGACUAUAUUUUAUAUCAAUUGCAGAAAAUAAGUAAAAUUAAUAGACAAAAUCGUGCUAAGUUUGAAGAUGUUCAUUGUAUGGGUUAAAAAAGUCUCCCAAAGUUUAUUGAUGAGAAGGUUUAUUUCUAUUUCUAUUUUUAUUUUUAUGGCUUUAAUUUAAAUUAAAAAUGAAAUGCAUUUAACUUAUUUAUUUGGUUGUAGAUAAAAAAGGGCAAAAGAGUGUUGUCUGGACGUAAAGAGAUUUACAUUGAUACCCGCACUCGUAAAGAUGGAACAAUUGUCAAUGAAAAGGCUGCAAGAUUGAUUGUGAAGAUUAAAAGCUAAUUUGUUGUUGAAGAUGGAAUAUUGGCAAUUUAGUGGACUCCAUUUUUUAAUAUUUUUUGAGAUUGUUAUGUAUGACACAAGAUGUCUAUUUUAAAUGUCUAUUUUUUGAGGUUAAGGGUUUUGUUUUAUCGUUGUAAGACUUUUAUAUUAAUUUUUAAUAUAUACAAUGAACACCUUUUAUUUUA